UGCUGCGCUAGCAGAGACCACAUCAGAGCUGAAUAAUCUGGAAUCUGAUGUGGGCAAACUCAUUCUACAGCUUGAGAACAGAAAGCAGCAGCUCCAGCUCAUGUCUGGGCAGCUACAGGAGAGUGUGAGAGAAAGUCAGCUCCUGAAACAACGCCUGAGAUACACAGAGGCCUUCACACAUCCUACAUACCAGAUCCAAGCAGUGGAGCAGCAUAUGUUGGAGAUUCAUGAACUGAAACCAACACUGCUGGAGACUAUCAGGAGGACCCAGGACCUGUACAGACAUCUGCAGGCCGCUGAGCGAGGUGCAAACACCAGUUCUACAACACGGGGACACAAUCCAGAAUUAG
ensembl:lncRNA